CUUUGGACAAAAGUCUAUAGCCAGUGCAUUUGAAAACUCCCCUUGCACCAGGGCUGACUGUAGCUGGGGGAAGACAUUUUACUCAUUUGCUCUUUCCUUUCAUACAGUCAGCUGGUCCCUCUUCUCAGGUGUAGAUCACCUAUUAUAAUUUUACCUAAUUUUGAUACUCUGAUAAGGAAAGUCCCAGGACUUAUCAGCUGGGAUAGGCCUCACUUACAAGACAGCUCUGUUCAGUAUUUGGAAGAAAGCCUGACAGGUUUCUUCGGAAAAGUGGCCAUCCAUGGAAUGAAUGAAAUGUUCUCUUUCUAUUCCAGGGAUUGCAGUGGCAAAGCUAGGCUAGGUCUUGGAGGCUGGUGUAAGGCGAUGUGGGUGAAGGCAGGAGGCUGAUGGAAAGACUGGGGGGAAGAAAAGCCGAAAUGGAUUCACGGUGCCUUGGAUGAAGGACGAGAGGGGAACUGCAAGCUCCUUCAACUGGUUCUGUCCGGUGAGAAGUGAUCAAGCUUGGGCUGACAAGAGGCUCAGGGAGCCCUCACGUUCUUUCGCUUUUUUACCUGCCAAUCAAACUGCUACAAGACAACACCCUGAUCUGGCAUGGACAUCGCGGGUCCAAGCCUGUAGCCCCAAAUCGGAUAAUCUCUGCAGCUGAUAACAAGCAAAAGAGAAGCCAGGCAACAGCCAUAUUAAAGAAGAAAACAAUCAACUCUGAGAUCCAACUUAGAAAUAAUGUUUCAUUCAAGAUAAGGCUCGUGGCUUAGGAGAUUGUGACCUGGCUUGCAUCAUUCUAAGACUUCUAUCGUCUGUUUUCAAAACCCAAGGAGGACCUCCUUUUCUGUGUGAUAGUUCCUCAUGCUUUGCCAGCCACUGGGUCUUUAAGGAAGCUUGCCAAGAGUUCCCGGCUGGGAAGGACAGUUCGAGUUCAUCAUAGACAAUGAGCUGGCACCACAGUUUAAGUGACUCACCAACCUGGUUGCCCACUUCAAAAUGUCAAGAACCACACUAUCUAAUUGAAAGAACUGUGUUUUAGCAAAGUGUAAUUGGAUCGCCUGGCAAGAUCAUCUCAAACUAUGUCUCUGACCUUGCCUUUCAGUGGCUAUUUUGAGCACAAGAGGAGAAAGGAAAUGAUUCCUGAAUUAUAUCUUGUUUUUAAAAAUUAAGAUUAAUUAAUACUUGGUUUUAUGUUCAUUCCAUUGUAGGAACUUAGUGAUUAUUACAAAACAGUCAAAAUAGGUCAUAGCAAAAUGAACGUUUAAGAUUAGGUUAAAACAUUCCUCUGAAAUUUUAGUAUUCACUUUUGAAGUGUCAAUUACUAUAUUUCUGUAAUUUCUCAUUUUUUUCUUGGCUUAGAGUCAAGAUGAAAAAUGAUAUUUGAAUCAAAGACAUUGUUUUGUUAUAUAGCCACUCCUUUCUAAAAUGCAAAUCCACCCUCCCCUCACCAAUGCUUUAUUCUUUGUGCGCGCACACACACACACACACACACACACACACACACACACACACAGACAUACACAGAACCAGCACCCAAAUGGUAGAGGAGUUUUAUAACGUGCAUAGGUUUACCCCAUGGGGAAUUAAAAUUUUUAUCUGCAAGUAUUUCUGUUGUUGUGAGACUUUAGGACAAGACAACAUUUGGUGUUAACAUAGAAGAAUAUUCUAUGGCUUUUUUAGCUUUAAAGUUCAUUACUCUAAAAUAAAGUACACGUGGUAUUUUUUUCUUCCUAGUGUUCUCUUAUUAUAUGUAGAGUAUUUUCGGUUGUUGUUUUUAACGUAUACAUUAUUUUUAUUAAGUCAUUUCAUAAAAGAUAAGAUAUAUACUAAUAGACCCUUGGUUUUCUCCUAAUUUAAUUAUUUCAAGUCAAGCAAAAUUGGGCAAUUUUCUUUCAGGAAAAAAAAAAUAUUGAGCAUGAUUUUGAGGUAAAACUGAUUAUUUACAGCAUCUUUUCUCUAAUAGGCUAACAUUUAUGAUGGAUCUUAUUUCAAAGUUGAUUAUUCUCAAAGAAAAGUGGAGAUAUUAGAAUUUCCGAGUAAAUUGCAUUGUUUUAAAAAGUACUUUAAUGCAUUGUUCACAUUGUUGCCAGCUAUUGACCAAAAAAGAGAAGAAGAAAAAAGAAAUAAAAAAAGCAGUAUCUGCUCCAAACGUCAAGUUUUGCAGUUUGAAAGACUUGUACAUUAUAAUUGUUUUUUUCUUUUUUGGAAAGCAGUAGUAAUUAAUACCAAAGGCAUAGACAAUUUAGGGCCAUAACCUCCCUUCCCCCCUCUCCACCUUUUUUUUUUUUUUUUUUUUUUUUUAACUUUAACCAUGAUAGGCAUCUCUGCAAGGUAGGUUUUAACAUAUUUUUUUCCUAAUUUUUUUCCCUCCAUUCAGUAAGAAGGAUAAGCUUUUAGAGUACCCAGUCACCGUGGUAACUGCCAAAAAAAUUCUCCUGAAGUUUGAAGAGGUCAGCUAGCAGGGUCAACAACCCUGGCCUCUCUCUGAGCUCGGUCUAGCAUGCCCCAGCCUGCGGUUGGAGUGUCAGGCCAGAUCUGACCCUGGGAGGUGGACCAUUCUGGCUCUGAUAUAAAUUUUUCGAGUCAGUUCAUGGCCUGGACUCUCCAGGUGGCCUCCAAAAUCGAUUUUGACCCCCUGACCCUGUCUCACGGAGGCAUAGCAUCCACCCUAAGUAAGGAUUUAGCCAGGAAUGACAGCUUUCCACUGAGUGUUAUUGGGGACAGUAUAAACAGUUUGGAAAGCAAGUAAGGAGGUGUGAGGGCUAGCAAUCAUUAAAAGCACAUUAAAAAACAAUUUUUAAAAAUCUUUAUUAGAGAAAGUUGUAAAUGCAUAUCUGUUACAGAAUUCCUGUGAUUUGUAGAGUUUUCUAGUCAGUUUUGAAUAUAAAUAGGUCACAUAUCUUUAUCUUUUUGCAUACUUUGUUACAAAUAUGCAAAUAAGAUAGGCAUACUUGCUACAAAAUAGGUACAGCAGGAAUGUAAUAUGUUCAGAAAAGGCAAACUGGUUAUUAAAACACAUUAACAGGUAAGGAGUUUCUAAUAUUUUAAAUACUAAAAUUUUACAUGUGUAUUUUGAAGUUUUUAAAAUGGAAAAAUAAAGAACCUUUAAAAAACCCAACAGUGUGGAAUAAAGAUAAACUUGUUGCACUCAAGGUACAUUUCUACUUUGUAAAGCAAGAAGCCAAUACACUCAGUUGGAUAAAAAUGAGAGAAAAAUUGUAAAUAUAGAGAGUUACAGCUUAUAGAGCUGAAGAGGAAUAAAACAAAAAAAAGUGUCUCUGAAUAACUUUAUGUAUUUUCAACAGUUUAAGAUAUCAGAAACUUGGAAAAUAAAUAUGAUAUAUAUAUAAAUCAUCAGUGAUUAUUUCCUUUUCAUUCCCCCCCGCCCCCAGGAUGCCACCGUGAGUGUUUGAUUUUCUCUAGGAAAGUAGAAUUCUCUUUGAGAGUUCUAGCCUGUGAACUCAGUAUGUAAAUGUGGCCAUCAAGAAGACAGAACUGCCAAGAGGAAAGAUUAUGAAUGUUUUUCUUCCUUAAAACCAUUCACAGUGUUUCUUCUUCCAGUGCUUUACUCAGACUUCUCCCCUUUUCCCAGCUCUGUUGAAAAUGGCUUCAAAAGCAACACUGCAGUGGCUAAACCAAUUGUACUGUGAAGUUGUUGAGAUGCCAUUUCAUCUGAAUCCUUCGUAAAAAUUAGAUUUUUAAGUAGGGGUGAAUAUCCUUUUGGGAGAGGGAAUGGGAGGGUAGAAGAAGGGGGGAAAGGACAGAGCAGUUUAUAUAUAUAUAUAUAUAUAUAUAUAUAUAUAUAUAUAUAUAUAUGAGUAUAUAUAUAUGAGUAUAUAUAUAUAUGAGUAUAUAUAUAUGAGUAUAUAUAUAUGAGUAUAUAUAUAUGAGUAUAUAUAUAUGAGUAUAUAUAUAUAUGAGUAUAUAUAUAUGAGUAUAUAUAUAUAUGAGUAUAUAUAUAUGAGUAUAUAUAUAUAUGAGUAUAUAUAUAUAUACUCUUUGUGUUUGAAGGCCUCUGUGUCUUGGCUUCUCACUAUGUUAAAUCCCUAUUAUAAAACUUAUCUUCACAAAGCCUAUUAUAGUAUUCUGAGAACAAAUUGGACCAUGAAUAACUUAGUUGGAAGUGUAGAUUAUUUUCUACUCAGGGGAAGUUAGAGAUGACAACAGCUUAACUGAAAGAAUAGUGAUUAAUCUUAAAUAGAUGGAUUUCAAAGUUUCACUCUUGAUAAAGAGUACCUUUGAUAUUUCCCCUCUUCAGAAUCACGUUUCCACUCUCUUUGUAUUAAGAAUUGUCCUAGUGAUUACACUCUCCCCCUAAUACAGCUCAAAGUGUAGAUCAUUUUUUUUCCAGGUUGUUAAUUUGUCAGAGAGGUGACCAGAAAGACACUCUACUUCCUGUUGGUUAAAUCGAUGAUUCCUAAGUGGUACUAGGCUUAGAUACAAAAGUCAAUGAUAAGAAUAUCUUGCAUAAAUCAUAGCUUCUUACUUAGAUAAAAUUCUUAUUUAAAAAUUUUUAAUUUGCUUAAUGCCCUAUAGCUUACAAAGCACUUUUUAAAUCAUAAUUUUGUUUAAUCCUUAGAAUAAUGUUAUAAGAUAAACAAAACUCAUCAAUCCCAUUUUACCUGUGAUUGCACACUGUGAUUGAGCUAAUAAAUGGAAGAAUUGAGAUACCAACUCAGAUUUUGUAGCUUCUGUUUCAAGUGAUUAACCUGUAGCAACAGGCUUUUGAAUUAUUUUUGUGUUCUAUAUCCCUGAAGAUAAAGAUUCUGUAUUAAAGAGCCAAGAUUUUAUAUCUCACAAAUUAAAAACUUAAAAGACAUGACUGAAAAGAAUUCUGUUUACUUUAAAGUGAAUUUUACCAGUUAUUAUUUUUCUUUCUAUAUAUAUGCUUAAAUGGUCUUUCAGAACUGACGGUUUUAAUUUCCAAAAGUUAAACAUGGGAAGCUCUAUAUAAAUUAAAUAACUAUCUGGAAUUUAAACCACGUAUAUAAGAAACUUAGAUUCUAUAUUUCAAAGUAAAAUAUAGCAUAAGACUUUAGAAGCAGGUUCUACAUAUUAAGUAAUUAUUUGAGAAUAUGCCAUUGAUAAAGCUCUUGAGUGUUAGAGGCGAGAUUUCCCUUCAAUUUUAAAAAACUUUUAAAAUCUUUUAACAUCUUAGCAAGUCUGGAUAAACAAAGUCAAAGUCAUAUAGAACUACUUUUGUUCUCUUAGGCUUUUACUUUUUGUGUUUAAUAAAAAGGUUUGCAAAAUACUCUAGGAAAAAUAAUAAAAGGAUUAUUAACUUGACAUUAAUGUAAACCAUCUAAACAUUACAGAAAUCAAGAAAUACAAAUAGAUGACAUUAUUUUAUUCUUAGGUUUUUAAUUAUAUUGCUUUAAACAUGUAAUGUGGGCAGUGUAGAUGUUAAUAUGGAAAUUCUUAUUUUUUAUUUCUUAAAUUAUAUAAAAUUAAAUUAGUCAUUUUAUAUAUACUUAAAUUAAUGCUUUUGCCCUUGAAAUAUUCUAGCAGCCAGAAAAAUCUAGUUAAGCUUGUUAGCAUUAGACAAAAUGAAAAAGUGUAGAGAAAAAGAAAAGCGACUGUUCUGGUAUCAAUAAUGACAUAUGAUAACCUUUUUUUGUACUGAAGUUUUUCUACAAAAACAUGACAUUAGACUGAGGAUUUUUCAUUCUGAUGUGCAGGUUAAUGUUCAAGUCUCCAAAUACAAACUUCUAGUGUCUCCUCCACUUGUAUGCAAAUUAGGAAAUGCAAAAAUAAGGUCUCUUAAAUUGACAGCUAUGUUUGUUUAGAUAUUCUUCAAAAUUUUAUAAUUUCUUAUAUUACCAAUCUCACUCAUUUUGGUCAUGUGUGUCUUUAACAGCUGUUCAAAACAGGUUUUCUUCCCUUCCUCCUUCCUUCCUUCUGCCCUUCGUUCCCUUCCUUCUCUCUCUUCCCCUUCUCUUUUUCCUGCUUUCUUUCUUGUCCCUCUUCCCUAUCCUUCCUUUUUUUCUUUCUCCUCUCUUUUCAUCCCUUCUUCUUUCCUACGUUACUCAUUAGUUUUUAGGUGUUUUUGUUUUAAAAUGCAGGGCAGCUUGGGUUAAGGGGUUAUCUAAUGCAAUAUAUUUUGCCAAACUGAGGUGCUGAACAAUGAAACAUUUCAGUUUAAACUUGCAUCAAGUCAGAAAACCCUCAAGUAUGGUAUCAAGACUUUUCUGACAAUGAAAAUCCAAUACUGAAUGAUCAACUUUUAAAAUGUUACAGAUUCUGGCAGUUUCUCUCUUGCUAUCUUUGUAGUCUUUCUAAGUCAUCUAAACUAUUGGUUAGUUAUGUUAGCUUCUUGUGUUGCAAAGAAAAAGAGCAUUUUUAGAAAUCUGACAAGAAAUUUUGUCAAAUUGCUACACAUAAUUUGUAUAUAAGUACAUAAAAGCACAAUACUAGCUAGCAUUGAAAAAUUUGAAUAAAGAUCAGAGAUUUCUCACUUUUUUCCCACCCCUGUCCAAUAUACUGUGGUAUUAAAUAUUUAAUAUAUGUUCAUUUUUUCUCUUCCUUUCCCCAACCCCCACAAAGCUGUUAUCAAUCUGGACAGAUGAAUAAAUUUUGGCAAAAUAAGAUUUGUUUAGAAUGGUAAGAAUUCUUCCUAAUAAAGUUUUUAAGCAAGUCAAUAAGGCAUAAAAAUGUUCUGUAUUCUUCUAAA
rnacentral:lncRNA from 10 species